GACGAACGCUGGCGGCGUGCUUAACACAUGCAAGUCGAGCGGUAAGGCCCUUUCGGGGGUACACGAGCGGCGAACGGGUGAGUAACACGUGGGUGACCUGCCCUCAGCUCUGGGAUAAGCCCGGGAAACUGGGUCUAAUACUGGAUAUGACUCCAUGACGCAUGUUGUGGGGUGGAAAGCCUUGUGCGGCUGAGGAUGGGCCCGCGGCCUAUCAGCUUGUUGGUGGGGGAUGGCCUACCAAGGCGACGACGGGUAGCCGGCCUGAGAGGGCGACCGGCCACACUGGGACUGAGACACGGCCCAGACUCCUACGGGAGGCAGCAGUGGGGAAUCUUGCGCAAUGGGCGAAAGCCUGACGCAGCGACGCCGCGUG
rnacentral:rRNA from 1 species